rnacentral:lncRNA from 1 species
GUGGUAUUUGCGUAACGUCAUAAUCAAUCAUCGCCAUAAAUAGGGUACCGACGUUUGUGAGAACCAUCACCAUAAAAGCUAACAACGCUUACUUAAACGAUGUUUAUUCGAUGUUUGUUAAAAACGUCGAUAUAGAGAUAUUAUGAUGUUUGUAUGGUCUUUUGCAUCAUUUGUUGAAUGUCGUCAUAAAUCUUUUUUAUUGUAGUGGCUGAUU